rnacentral:rRNA from 1 species
GACAGAGGGGGCAAGCGUUGUCCGGACUUACUGGGCGUACAGCGCGCGCAGGCGGCACGGUAGGUACCUGGUGACAUUCGUCCGCUCAACGGACGAGGGUCUGGGUAGACCGCCGGGCUUGAGGCCGAGAGAGGGAGGUGGAAUGCCCAGUGGAGCGGUGAAAUGCGUAGAGAUUGGGCGGAACACCAGCGGGGAAGCCGGCCUCCUGGCUCGGACCUGACGCUGAGGCGCGACAGCGUGGGGAGCAAACGGG